GGGGCUGUAGCGCAGCGGCAGCGCGUUUCCUUGGCAUGGAAAAGGUCAGGGGUUCGAUUCCCCUCAGCUCCA
rnacentral:tRNA from 1 species